UGGCUCAGCGGUAGAGCGCUUGCCUCACAUGCAUGAAGCCUUGGGUUCAAUUCCUCA
rnacentral:tRNA from 1 species